GGGUUUCAGAGCAGUAAUUCUUCCUCAGGCUUGUCUUGGGGACAGAGAUGUGUGUUCCCAACCAGAGAGAAGGGGAGGUGUUGAUUUCUUUUGAGCCAUCACAAUAUUGAUGUUCCAAGAUAUAUUUGCAAAGGUUUUUUUAUUUCUCUUUUAUUUAUAAACUAUUGUGUCUCAUUGUAUUUAUCCUUGAAAACAGUUACACUUAAAGAACAGGUCAGAUCCUUACAGUGACUCAUGGUCCUCUGAGUGACCCUUUGACUUCAAUAAGAUUAUCUGAGUAAAAAGGACAUGCCAGGAAAUACAAUGAGGUAUCCUCGCUGUGUGAACUUACUGGGAUGUGUGGCACAAUCCUCAUGUGAAGCACUGAAUCCAGAAGAGUCCCUGGAUGGUGGCAGAGCAGCUCUCUUGCCACAGCACAUUUGCUCCAUGAGAGAUACCCCCUUACAGCUUUUGUAGUGCAAAAACUGAGCUCCUCGGAUAAGCUGGCUUGGCUUGAGUUGGGAGAUCCAACACUCUAAAAGACUGGAUGGUUAUUUAAUAAAUGUGCUUAUCCAGGGCA
rnacentral:lncRNA from 1 species